rnacentral:lncRNA from 1 species
UUUUUAACCACCGGGUAUUCCAACAGUGUAAACGGUAACAACUACGCCGUUAUUUUUAAAUAACUUAUAUUUGUCGUUUUCCUCCUCCAAUCGCUUUCCGUUAUGGGGCCCACACAUGGCUGCGCCGUCGUACGAAUAUUCCCCGACAACAAUGAAUAUUUUAUAACCACUUGCUUAUUUUGAAAUAUUUGCGUAUUUUACCCAUAACUAUCCACAUUAAUCACAUCAACCCUUACUAUUUCAAAAUAAUAAUUAGAGGAAAUUAAAUUU